UGGCGACCGGCGCACGGGUGCGUAACGCGUAUGUAACCUACCUAUAACAGGGGCAUAACACUGAGAAAUUGGUACUAAUUCCCCAUAAUAUUCGGAGAGGCAUCUCUCCGGGUUGAAAAACUCCGGUGGUUAUAGAUGGACAUGCGUUGUAUUAGCUAGUUGGUGAGGUAACGGCUCACCAAGGCAACGAUACAUAGGGGGACUGAGAGGUUAACCCCCCACACUGGUACUGAGACGCGGACCAGACUCCUACGGGAGGCAGCAUG
rnacentral:rRNA from 1 species